UACCGUAGCAUUCUGAUUGUUAAAUGUCGGUGCAUCAGUACCAGACGGACAUUGAGUAUCUGAAUUGUCCACUUUGAAUGCUA
ensembl:ncRNA F22B3.13 ncRNA